CACCUGCACAGGUGCUGCAUGGCUGUCGUCAGCUCGUGUCGUGAGAUGUUCGGUUAAGUCCGCUAACGAGCGCAACCUCGUCGUAUGUUAUAUGUGUCAUACGAGACUGCCGGUAAAAAGCCGGAGGAAGGUGAGGAUGAUGUCAAGUCAGCAUGACCUUUAUAUCCAGGGCUACACACACGCUACAAUGGUCUGUACAAUGGGUAGCCAAGCCGCGAGGCGGAGCCAAUCCUGAAAGCAGGCCUCAGUUCAGAUUGCAGUCUGCAACUCGACUGCAUGAAGCCGGAGUUGCUAGUAACCGCAGGUCAGCAAUACUGCGGUGAAUACGUUCCCGGGUCUU
rnacentral:rRNA from 1 species